CUUUGGUGGCUAAAGCACAACUGCCAUGCUGAACACUGGUGAACUCAGGGCUGGUCACAGUCCUAUCCAUAAAUUCUUGAAAUGACAAAAUAAGUUCGCCUGCUUGAUGAUAUAUAUUUUUAUUUUUGUUAAUUUUGUCUUUUGUUUGUUUCUUUAAAGGCGGCAAAGAAGUUUGUUUCUGGCCAGAAGUCAAUGGCAGCAAGUGGAAAUUUGGGACAUACACCUUUUGUUGAUGAGUUGUAAUACUGAUGCACACAUUACAGGAGAGAGCUGAACGUUCUCUCAGCCCAGAGCAGCAAACACAUGAAAGUCAGAAGUCUCUAAUAUAUCAUUUGUCUUUUUUCCAGUGAGGUAAAAUAAGGCAUAAAUGCAGGUAAUUAUUCCCAGCUGACCUAAAGUCAAUAAAACAUUCUGUUUAAGUGUUUUUCUUACGUUUUUCUCAAUGAGUUAAUCAACAAGUAUUUAUUAUGUGCUGAUAUCUUUGUUUUAGAUGCUUUAAAGGAGACAGGAAUAUAAUUAUUGAGUAUAGAAGCAUCAGAAACUAUUAAAAUUAAGGCUAAGUGGCUAUCGGGGUAAAUAGUGCCAGAUUACUAUUGGUGGCGUUUAAGAUGAAAGCAAGUUCAAAAUUUGUCAUUUUGGGUGUCAACAGCUAAAUGGUCUGGUUUUUACCCCUGUUUUGCCUUUUUUGCAAUAAAAUUAUUUCCAAAAAACAUACAUUUCCUAUCAAUCAUAUCCUAUAUUCCCAUUCAUUCAUUUUUUUAUGUCUGAUUUAUCUUCAUUGACAGAGUUUUGUUUUUCUCUCAUCUCCUGUCUCUCCCUUAUCUGUUACUAUCCUGUCUCUUCCAAAUAAUUAACUCUCAAUUCAACAUUUACAGUAAAAGAAGGGCUAAAAAGGGGAAAAAAAAAGAAUUCUAAUGUGAAUAACUAGCCAAAGAAUUAUGUCUCUUAGUU
rnacentral:lncRNA from 1 species